UUCUUAUCAAGAGAGACGGAGGGAAUGGCCCUACGAUGUCUCAGCAACCAGGCUGUUAAGGCCACGGUGCUAAUUCCAAUAGGUAGUUACUCUUUACCUAGAAGAUAAGAA
rnacentral:ncRNA from 1 species